CCCCGUUAAAGAUGCGCAGCUGGAGGUUCUGGCUGUAGGGCAGGUCGGGAUAGGUUUUCUAGCGACAGGAAGGCGUGCAACGAGAUAAAAGUGGAAAGUGCAGGUGCAGAGCAGGAAUUGUUGUACAAAUACUCACCUCCAAGUUAAGCUCCACCACUCCGGAAAUUAUGAAAGCAAUGCCCGCAAGGAUGCCGCCCAUGGUGAGUUUCUGCAGCGGUCGUCGAAUGCCCACUAGUCUCAGGACCGGAUAGAAGGCCACAUCGUACAACGGAAUGAAGAGUAAGAUAAGCAGAGGAUUGAGCACUUGCAACUGGUCGGGCUUGAUGUCCCAGGAGCCCAUGUCGCCGUCCAUU